GAUGAAGAACGUAGUGAACGUGCGAAACGUAAUGUGAAUUGCAGAAUUCAGUGAAUCAUCGAAUCUUUGAACGCAUCUUGCGCUCCUUGGUAUUCCGAGGAGCAUGCCUGUUUGAGUGUCGUGAAUACUCUCAACUUCAACCCUUUUUUCGGAAAGGGAGGAAGGUUGGACUUGGGUGUUUGUUGAAGUGCGAGCUUCGACUCAUCCUAAAUGCAUUAGCGAUCUGCCUCGAUCACACACAAUGUGAUAAUUAAAACUAAAGCAUUGUUUAAUGAUCAAGUCGAGACUGCUUCUAACUGUCGCAAGACAAUAACUUGCAUACAUUUGUGCAUGUCAUUUGACCUCAAAUCAGGUAGGACUACCCGCUGAACUUAAGCAUAUCAAUAAGCGGAGGA
rnacentral:misc_RNA from 1 species